GACGAACGCUGGCGGCAUGCCUAACACAUGCAAGUCGAACGGUAAGGCUUUCUUCGGGAAGUACACGAGUGGCGAACGGGUGAGUAACACGUGGGUAACCUACCCUUGACUGGGGGACAACCGAGGGAAACUUCGGCUAAUACCGCAUAACGUGCAUUGCCUCAAGGUGGUGUACCAAAGCUCCGGCGGUUAGGGAUGGGCCCGCGGCAGCUUAGCUUGUUGGUGCGGUAACGGCUUACCAAGGCGACGAUCUGUAGCUGGUCUGAGAGGACGAGCGGCCACAGUGGAAGUGAGACACGGUCCAGACUCCUACGGGAGGAGGCAGUGGGGAAUCCUGCGCAAUGGGCGAAAGCCUGACGCAGCAAUGCCGCGUGAGGGAAGACGGCCUUGGGGUUGUAAACCUCUUUCAGCAGGGACGAACACAGACGGUACCUGCAGAAGAAGCCCCGGCUAACUACGUGCCAGCCGCCGCGGUAA
rnacentral:rRNA from 1 species